UACGUAGGGGGCUAGCGUUGCUCGGAAUCACUGGGCGUAAAGCGCACGUAGGCGGAUCGUUAAGUCAGGGGUGAAAUCCUGGAGCUCAACUCCAGAACUGCCUUUGAUACUGGCGAUCUUGAGUUCGGGAGAGGUGAGUGGAACUGCGAGUGUAGAGGUGAAAUUCGUAGAUAUUCGCAAGAACACCAGUGGCGAAGGCGGCUCACUGGCCCGGUACUGACGCUGAGGUGCGAAAGCGUGGGGAGCAAACAGG
rnacentral:rRNA from 1 species